rnacentral:lncRNA from 1 species
UUUUUUUUUUUUUUUUUUUUUGCUAUGACAUUUGAAAUUGUUUCCUAUUUUUACUUCUUGAGAAAAGGACAUGUUUGGCUGUUAUUUACCAAAAACACAUGUGAGGCUGAGAGUCUAAACGCACGCCAGAGAUUUGUUUUGCUAUUAUGAUUCACUGUCUGGUUAAUGCAUGCUAUAAUUGUCCAUAUUUAUACACAUAUCAUGGCCUUUUGUAAUCAAGGAUGAUACUCUGGAUAGCAUACGUUCUUAAACUGGGGUGUGAGCAAAGGAAUUUUUUUUACCAUCCCUGCCCGUUUAGGUAAACAGUCUGAACUUUGGAGUCUGGAGUGACCGUUUGAAAUACGUGACCUCCAAAAUUCUGCAUUUUUUUCUUUUGUCUCCUGGCAACAAAACGUAUUUAUAAUUUGGCCACCACCUCCUCAUCUCGAAAGGUCUGCUGCUGUUUUAAAGUUUAAAACAACAUUUGGGCACGUUGUCCCGAAUGAGGAUAUUGGUGUCCUUUUCUGUGUGCAGAGACAGACAAUAACAAUUCUGAAUACAAAUACAACAAUGAAAACAGAACCCUUCUCUUGGCAGAGUAACGAGCAUGCAACUUUAGUUUUAAAAAUAGCCCUCGAGGAGUUCUCUCCUUAUAAUGUCAUUUUCAUUAAGCUCUUUUUCACAGUUUCUUUGCCAAAAGACAUGGAGGUCAAGUUGGGGGUGCGGUUAGAAGGGGGUUGGAAGCAAGUUUAAGGCAAAGCUUCAGGAGGGUGCAUGCCAGUGGGGACUGCAGAAACCUCAGGUCUUUCCAUCUGAAAUUGGCGGUCCCUGUGGGCUCCUCCUGUAGAGAAUCACAGAAUAACCGGGCUCUUGGCUGAGCUCCCACUGGCUGCUUCUGAGAUCCUGCAAAGUCAGAGUUCUCCUCUCUCUCCGCUUUGCCUCUCCAGCCCCACCUCCCACUUUGAGGCAACCUGGACUGGGUCUUGAUAUGAUUGGCAUUUCACAGCUUGUCCUCUGGGGUUAUAAUUUCAAGUACUUCACAUCAAAGGUGUUGGCAUGAAGGGCACCUUAAAGUGAGUCAGACUCAGCACUGCUGCCGUACUGAGCUGGAUAAUUCUUUGUUUUGCGGUGGGGGGGGGGACCACAUUGGAGCAUCCUUGGCUUCUACUUCCAGGUGGCAGCAAACUACCCAUCCCUCCCCCUGCGGCAAUCACAAAUGUCCCUAGUCAUUGCUCAAUAUCCCCUGGGGGGAGCGGGAAUCACCCCCAAUUGAGAACCAUUGAGUCGCUGCAAGGAAAACUCAUCUUUCUUUGGCAUCUCUGAUACAGGCUAGAUGUUUGUGUCAUCCUAAUAAUUAUCUUUUGGAGUCUUACCUCCUUUUUACAGUCUGGGAACCUGAGAGGUGACAAGGAUAGUGUUGUUUUUCGGUUUUGUUUUAUUUUUGUUGUUGUCGUUCCAGCUUUAUUUUCCAGUUCUCGACAGUGAAAACACGUUAUAACUGGAAAAAUGGUUCUCAAUUACUCCCAGAAAUUUGUACCUCAACUAUCCCCACGCCUAUUUUUCUUUUUUUGGCUUUUUAGGGCUGCACCCUCGGAUUCAUUAACCACCGAGCCACGACGGGUACUCUGCCAGUAUCUUUUCAAAUUAUGGCUUUGUCCGGAUAGAUGCCCUGGAGUGGGAUUGCUGGAUCCUGUGGUAAUUCUAUACUUUGUUUUUUAAGGAACCUCCAUAGUGGUUGUACCAAUUAACAUGCCCAUCAAGAUUAUAAGAGGCUCCCUUUUCUCCACAUCCUCUCCAGCACUUGUUAUUUGUGGCAUUUAUUAAUAAUGGCCAUUCUGACUGGUGUGAGGUAAACCUCAUUGCAGUCGCCACAUUCUGCUAAGUCUCGUACAUGACUGUGCCCACUUAUACUCCCACCUGCAACGCAAGGGAGUCUGGUUGCUCUGCACCAGAUAUUGACACACCGUCUCUGUGCAGGACCGAAGAGGAAAGAUUUAAGCCUUGAUGUGACACACAGUCUCUGUCACAGCUAUUCAACUCUGCUGUUGUAGCAUGGAAACAGCCUUGGACAGUUCCUAAGUGAAGGAGCCUGACGAUAUUCGAAUAACCUUUAUUCAAGGACACUGAAAUUUGAACUUUGUCAUUUUCAUGUGCCACAAAACAAUUCUUUUGAUUGUUUUCAAUGAUUUAAAAAUAGAGAACACAGUCUUGCAGGUUAUACAAAACAGAUGGCUGGAGAGAUUUGGGACCAGGUCACAGUUGGCCAUCCUUUGCUUGACAUCCUCUUCCAGAUCUGGAAUUUUCAGAAACCGUAAUCUACUAGGUGUGAAAUGGUAAAUUGUGUAUUUACUUCAUGCUCCUGAUUAUUAGUGAAGUCAAGCAUUUGACCAUGUUUAUUGGCCACUAGACUUUUCUGUUCCAUGACUUAUCUCUUCAUGGUUUCCCCCCCCCUUUUUUUUUAAGAUUAUGGGUCUUUCAUUUAUCGACUUAGGAGUUCUUUCUAUUUUCUGGCUGGGCAUCCUUUAUUUGUAUGCUUUGCAAGUCUCAGAGUGUUGUCCAUUUCCCUUUUGCAAAGUAUCUUUUGAUGCAAUGUUUUCCAGUGAAAAUUAGAUGUAGCCAAAUCAUACUUAUUUGACGGUGAAAACCCAUGUUUAUUUUUCAUACGCUUUGAGAAGGUGGAAGGAAGCUACCACUUUCCUGGAUGGGGGAAAGAGGAAGUAUUUCUGGAUUGGGUGGAAGUGGAAGAAUGUCCCUCACUUUGACACCAGGCUCUUUUUCAGGCCAGUCAUUUUCUUGAAGGCGAACAGUGUUGCAAUCUGCAGUUCUCUGGUGAAAACGCUGUGUUUAGUGGAGGUCAGUGCUGGCCAAAGACGGGCAUCUGAUACUCAUGAAAUGUUAACUUGGCUUUCCCAGCAAGUUGGCGGGCAUCUCACUUCCAAGCCAGCUGACGUCAUUCAGAGUAGAAAAAGACCCUCCCACACGGCCUUGGUAAUUGACUCUGAUGGGCUCCUCUGCCAGCCUAAGUGGUUCUGGAACAGAGAGAACUGUUGUCAUCUGAAGAACUUUCGAAAGUCACGCCAGCCCAGACCGCACCUCCCCCGCCCCCCACUACACACAGACACUCAAGCCAGCGAGGGAAAGAAAAGCAGUUGAAAUGCUGGUCAGCAAAACCCGCCUUGGCUGCCUUAAGCUUUGUUCCUGAGCUCUCGCUCUGUGAAGGCUGUUUUCCUCUGGAGAGAGCUGGAACCGGGCUGUCAUGUUUGACAGACGCCUCCUGUCGCCUCAAACUAAGGGCAUCCUUCCUGGGGUAAGCUCGUGGGCAGAGAGGCAGACCAGACGCCCGGUGUGGUUGAAAGAAAAGAGGAAGGUACUGAAUGGUUAAGGAAUGCAAGCUCCCAUCACAUCCGCGACUUCACGUUGCUUCCACUUUUCUCGUCUGGCCAGAAAGGUUGUCAUUCAGAGCGUGCAUCCCUAGCCUGAUCAGAGAAGGUGGAGCAAGUAAAACUGUAGCUUGGGUUUUCAGCUGUGUCUCACUGAGAUCGAUUCGGUAGCUGUAGCCUGGGUUUUAAACUCGGUCUCACUGAGAUUGAUUCGGUAGCUGGGGGGGUGGGGGGAGGGAGAGAGAGGCAGAGAAGCGUGGUGGAAAAUGGAAAUGCUCUUUCCAGCUGCAGAUGGACACUUGUCGCAUCGUGGACAGCUUGGCCCCUGAGCUUUUUUGUUUCUGAGGCCUUUCUGUGACAGUCUGCAUGAUGUGACCUCCUGUGUUGCUGCAAAUUCAGAUUUAAUAACUCUUUGUCACACUGAAUUUUUUUUUAAUUUCAUGAAAUACGGACAUGAGAGUCUCAUGUGGAAAAGACUGAAGCAUAAAGCUUUACUUCACGAUGAUUGGAUGUUUGGGUCUUUGAGUUUGGUUUAGAACUUUUAAAGGAAAGAUCAUAUUGUUUGUGCUCUUCCAGGGAAGGCUUUGGAAAGAAAAGUCAUAAUUCCAGAACCCAGAUGUCAAUCGUAGUCUAUAAAAACCAUCAGGUUACGGGUAUCUGUGCUAAUAGGACAGGAAAAUCUCAUUUUAGAAUCAAUAAAGUCCAGCUUGUCUAAAAAUUCUUCUCAGGUUACCUCUUUCAUUUCCAGUUGUGCCAACCUGCCCUAAAUUUAGUUUCACAGAGGGGUAGAAAAUGCUUGCCAAGAAAUAUCUGUGGUUUGGUCCUCAUUUGUUCUGUGUCAUAUCAAAUAAAAGUGUGGCACAAUCAGUAAAUAGUGAGAUGCUUUGCUUAAUCCAUUGGAUUUCAGUGAGCUUUUAUUACUUUUCAUUUUAUUUUUUUGAAAUGUAUUUUAUUGAAGGAGAGUUGAUUUACAGUGUUAUGUUAAUCUCUGCUGUACAGCAAGGUGAUUCAGUUAUACACAUAUGUAUGUAUAUACAUUCUUUUUCAGAUUCUUUUCCAUUAUGGUUUUAUCACAGGGUAUUGAAUAUAGUUCCCCGUGCUUGACAGUAAGACCGUGUGGUUUAUCCAUUUUAUGUGUGUGUGUGCGUGUGAGUAUACAUGUGUCAUAUAUGUAUGACUAUACAUUUAAAAAUUUCCUCCCCAAAUUUAAAAAUUCUAAGAAGAAAUUUUAGAAUGUGCAAUUUUCCUGGCUUGGGUUAGCCCCCAGUAGACUUUGUACACCUCAGUGCUAUUUCUUUAGGCUCUGAAUACACUAAUUAUAAAGGAUUACUGGGUGUUGGAUACUUGACGUUUCUAAGGUUUUCAGUUGCCACUCACGUUUAAUUUGAAAAUUGUUCAGUACCUGUUUGUUUCGAAGGACAUCUGGAGUCAUCAUUUUCCAUAAACUUGGCUGCUUUCUAAGAAUAUUAUCAGACACUCAGUAACUGCUCUAGUAGUUUCUGCAAAGAAAUUCUAUUAUGAAUCAGAAAAAUGUUUAAACCAUAACCCAAAUUGCCCAGGAUCCAAAUUGCUACCAAUCAUUUUGAAUAUCUUCAGCUGUGAAAUUGGGCACAAUGUCACAGUUUUUUUUUAUUGGAAUGUCAGGCUGUAUGAUUCUAGAAUAGUUACUUGAAUAAUUUCUCCUUUAGUUAAUUUCAGUUGUCUUAAAGAAUUAGAAUCUGCACAAGAAUGUGUACCCUUUUAAGCUACCUCCUCUUUAGCAAUCCUUGAUUUUUAUAUCCUAAAGCCUAGUCACGCAUCUUAACUAACACUUGUGUUUGAAUCGGGCUGAUAAAUACAUGGAUUUUUAUUUUUUUUAUUUAUUUAUUUAUUUUUGGAUUUUUAUUUUAAUGGGUAAGGUUUAAAUUAAAUCUUUAUGGGAGUUCCCAUUGUGGCUCAGUGGUAACGAACCCACCUAGUAUCCUUGAGGAUGCAGGUUCGAUCCCUGGCCCCACUUAGUGGGUUAAGGAUCUGAUGUUGCUGUGAGCUGUGGUAUAGGUUGCAGACGCAGCUCAGAUCAGGUGUCACGGUGCCUGGGAACUUCCAUAUGCCACACGUGUGGCCCUGAAAAAAAAUUACUUAAAUAAUAAAUAAAUAAAAUCUUUAUAAAGAUUAUAAAGAUUUUAUUCUAAAGAAUUAAGAGGUAUUAACCCAGUUAUAAAAUAAGUAAGUCACAGGGGUGUAAGGUACAGUAUAGGGAAUAUGGUCAGGAUUUUAUGGUAUGUAAUUUAUAAAAAUAUCCAAUCACUGUGUUGUGCACCUGAAACUAAGAUAACAUUUUAAGUCAACUAUACCUCAAUAAAUAUUUUAUUCUGUUGUCAUUUAACACGUUCAUCUAGUCAUUCUCAAAGUUCUCCAAUGAUGGAAAUUUUUCUUUCAACCUGGACAAUAAUAUAAAUGGAGUGAAUUUUUUUCAGUACAUAAAUAUAUAUGUAUAUUUAUGUGUAUAUAUGUGUGUAUAUACAUAUGUAUUUAUGUGUAUGUGUUUUAUGUAUUUAUGUAUUUAUUUAUGUGUUUAUUUGUGUAUAUGUGUGUACAUACAUAUGUAUUUAUGUGUAUGUAUUUAUGUGUUUUAUGUAUUCAUAAAAAGCACACUAGGAAAUUAUACAUUUAAUGUGCACCUUGCAUUAAAAUCAAAUGGAUACACCAAUGAAAUUUAGUAGAGGUAAUUACUUUUUCAUCUCCAAGGGCAAAAAACAUAUGACUGUGACUAAUACGAAGUAUGCGUGUUAUCUUUUUGUGAAUGCUUGUGUUGUUGUAUUGUAAGUCUCUUCAGCAUAAUAUCCUUGAUGACUAUCAUUAUGUGUGUGUGUCAUUAUUCUUAGACAAAGGUGGCCAGUCCCUCUUCCUCCUCUCCUUCCUCCAAAAAAAAAAAAAAAAAAAAAACCCGAAAAAUGAUCUCUUAGAUUCGUGCAGGUUUUUCCAUUUAUUUACCUUUGUUACUCAUGAUUCCAGCUUUUUCUGACCGUGGUUAAGGGCUGGUGUUUGAAUACAGUGAGACCUGACCUUAAAUACUAUACCAUCCCCUUCAUAACUCUGGGAUUUGGCAAGCUUUCUCUUCUCUGAGUCUCGGUUUCAUUGUUUGUAAAACUAGACAUAACAGUAUCUGGGAGUUCCUGUUGCGACUCAGCAGGUUAAGAACCCACCAUAGUAUGAAUGAGGAUGCAGGUUUGAUCCCUGUCCUCGCUCAGUGGGUUAAGGAGCCAGUGUUGCAACCAACUGCAGCAUAGGUCACAGAUGCGGCUCAGAUCCGAUGUUGCUGUGGCUGGGAUGUAGGACAGCAGCUGCAGCUCUCAUUCAGCCCCUAGCCUGGGAAU